GACGAAUGCUGGCGGCGUGCUUAACACAUGCAAGUCGAACGGAAAGGCCCUGCUUUUGUGGGGUGCUCGAGUGGCGAACGGGUGAGUAACACGUGAGUAACCUGCCCUUGACUUUGGGAUAACUUCAGGAAACUGGGGCUAAUACCGGAUAGGAGCUCCUGCUGCAUGGUGGGGGUUGGAAAGUUUCGGCGGUUGGGGAUGGACUCGCGGCUUAUCAGCUUGUUGGUGGGGUAGUGGCUUACCAAGGCUUUGACGGGUAGCCGGCCUGAGAGGGUGACCGGCCACAUUGGGACUGAGAUACGGCCCAGACUCCUACGGGAGGCAGCAGUGGGGAAUAUUGCAAAAUGGGCGGAAGCCUGAUGCAGCAACGCCGCGUGCGGGAUAACGGCCUUCGGGUUGUAAACCGCUUUCGCCUGUGACGAAGCGUGAGUGACGGUAAUGGGUAAAGAAGCACCGGCUAACUACGUG
rnacentral:rRNA from 1 species